CCUACGGGUGGCAGCAGUGAGGAAUAUUGGUCAAUGGACGAGAGUCUGAACCAGCCAAGUCGCGUGAAGGAUGACUGCCCUAUGGGUUGUAAACUUCUUUUAUCAAGGAAUAAAACGCGGCACGUGUGCCUUUUUGCGUGUACUUUGUGAAUAAGGAUCGGCUAACUCCGUGCCAGCAGCCGCGGUAAUACGGAGGAUCCGAGCGUUAUCCGGAUUUAUUGGGUUUAAAGGGAGCGUAGAUGGGUUGUUAAGUCAGUUGUGAAAGUGUGCGGCUCAAACGUAAAAUUGCAAUUGAUACUGGCAGUCUUGAGUACAGGUGAGGUAGGCGGAAAUCGUGGUGUAGCGGUGAAAUGCUUAGGUAUCACGAAGAACCCCGAUUGCGAAGGCAGCUGAAUAAACGGUGACUGACAUUGAUGCUCGAAAGGGUGGGUAUCAAACAGGAAUAGAAACCCUGGUAGUC
rnacentral:rRNA from 1 species